CCUACGGGAGGCAGCAGUGAGGAAUAUUGGUCAAUGGACGAGAGUCUGAACCAGCCAAGUAGCGUGAAGGAUGACUGCCCUAUGGGUUGUAAACUUCUUUUAUAAAGGAAUAAAACGAGGCACGUGUGCCUUGUUGCAUGUACUUUAUGAAUAAGGAUCGGCUAAAUCCGGGACAGAAGCCGCGGUACUACGGAGGAUCCGAGCGUUAUCCGGAUUUAUUGGGUUUAAAGGGAGCGUAGAUGGGUUGUUAAGUCAGUUGUGAAAGUUUGCGGCUCAACCGUAAAAUUGCAAUUGAUACUGGCAGUCUUGAGUACAGUUGAGGUAGGCGGAAUUCGUGGUGUAGCGGUGAAAUGCUUAGAUAUCACGAAGAACCCCGAUUGCGAAGGCAGCUUACUAAACUGUGACUGACAUUGAUGCUCGAAAGUGUGGGUAUCAAACAGGAUUAGAUACCCUGGUAGUC
rnacentral:rRNA from 1 species